CUCCUUAAUUUACUACUACAAUCAUCAAAAUCUUAUUUAGCAUUUUCACAAUAUGGCUUCAAAGAACAUGACAACAAUCAUGGCUCUCUUCCUCACCUUCAAUCUCGUCUUCUUGGGCUUCACCUCAGCCCAAACCUUUGUGUCCUCUUAACCAGUCUGACUUGGGGAUUUGCGUCAACGUACUUGGUCUCAUCAACCUCACCACCAGCAACGUGGCCCAAUGUUGUUCUAUUUUAUCUGGUCUUAAUGCUCCUCUUGUGUCUGUAUGUGCAUGCGAGGCCCUAAGACUCAAUAUACUUAACCUUCUCGGCAUCACCAUCAACCUCAAUUUGAGGCUUAAUGGGCUUCUUGGUCUCUGCCGUUUGCCGAUACAACCUGGUUACAACUGCCUUGCAUAAGUAAACAACAUACAGGGUCUUAUAUGUAUUAGGAUCAUUAAAAUAAGCAUACAAUUAGUUCCGUAAUAUCGGUUCAUGGUGCAACUAUGUGUUUUUUUAAAGUAAGUAAUUAUGUCUUUAUCUUAUGUUUGAAAUAAAAUGAAACCUGGAUGGUGUUUCACAUGUUUGGCUGUUCCA